GAGAAAAAUUAUAAGAUGGCGUCGGCCGAAGUGCCGGCGUGAGACUCACGUGCUGCCAUGGUCAGACGUGGAUAAUCUCUUGUGAGAGCAAGGUGUGUUGCUGGUGCCACAAAAUAAAUUUCUUUGUUGAGACGUCAUUUAAAUUUGUUGGAAUUUAUAGAGUAUUCGCCCGUGGGCAUUAAAAUUGUGUUGAUUUUGAAAUAAUUAUUGUUAUAAUAAUAACAAUACCAAUGGAACCGGUCAGCAUUGUUUACUACAACGACGACUAACGUCUUUCUAUGGUCGGCUGGAAUUUGCUAAAUUCCUCCCACGCCAACUUGUUCCAAGGAGUUGAGGAACUUUCCAAUGCAGUAGGAUUCUGGUUGCGCACGAUAUCCCGGAACUGGUUUUGUGUAGAGCCAUGAGAUGACCAUUCUUGUGCGACUUACCGGAAACGAAGAUCGUCUGGAGCUGCAUCGGAAAACAAAGAGGAAGCCAGGCCUGGAAUUUUUCGUACCGGGUCACCGAUCAAGGUUGAAGACUUCCCGGAUCCAGUUCGGCCGAAUGCAAAAAUGACUGGCGUUACUUCGGUCCGAAGCUUGGUAUUGGAAGCUUCAAUGGUUGUUCGUAUGAAGUUUACGGAGGUAUAAUAGUCUUCGACAAAAACGUUAAGCGGCAGAAACGCUCUACUAUACACAUAAAUAUAUUUAAAUACGUGCACGACAAAUAAAAGGCUUGAGAUGAAUUUGAUGAUAAGUGAAAGUAUUUUGCGAACUUGAAAAUAUUUCUUUCUUUUUUCUUUUAUGAAAAUAUGUAAAUAAUUAUUUUUCAUUUGAAAGGACAAAAUUAUAUAUUAAAGUAGUAACUAACCAGUUAAUGUGUGGCGUAGUAGUCUCUCAUUGUACAGACGCCAUGGCAAACGAAGUCACAUCCUUCUCCAUCGCAUUUGAAUGAUCCAUUGAUAUGAGAUAACCAGACAUGGGAUGGAAUUACCCAUGUCUUGAAAAGUUUAUCGCAUGCCUUCCACUUCCAAAGCGCUGUUGAUCUUCCGUGCCAACCGAUGUGAUCCGCGAAAUUGGUGUUCGCGUACAGAUUUGCGUCGUUGACAGCAAACGAUAGCGUUGAUGUGUCAUUGAUCCUUGCUCGUUGCGGUCAUCUAAUUUUAACAUACGCAGCAACAAACUUGUUUUUCUUGCAUCGCUGUCAUCGUCAUCACUUGAACUCCUUGACGGUAAAACAGCGGGUCUACGGCCACCCCUGUUAUCUCUGUGAAACUUAUAGAUGAUACUAUCCCGAACGUUAGCUCGUGACCUCAGGGCGUACCUAGGACGCUGAGCAUUUUCUGGAGAUUCCGACGAGCAACUAGGUACUGGUGGAGCUGGAGAUGCAAUAGCCGACUCAUCAGCACCAGAAAUCUCACUGUCAGGUGAGGCUAAAGAAGAAAACGUCACAUCCGGAAAAUCAUCUUGUGACGAAGCUCGUGGCGAAUUAGACUGAUUUGUACUAGUCGAUUCUCGAGCUGAUUCUGACUGCCGAUUUUCUUCUUCAGGCUGUUGUUGUUCGACUGGAGCUGCAUCCGCUUGUACAUCUUGAGGUGGAGUUGGUGCUCUAGGUGGUGUCACAAUAGAUUGGCGGUGCUCCCUUUGCUGAUUCUCCAAUUGGGCUCGUGUAUUUCUGCAUCGUGUCGGGUUUGAAGUUGGUUGAACGCAGCAAGGAGAUUGUUAAUCUGAGCAUCCUAUCGAACUGUAAGAUCGACGAUCUUAGCCUCGUAAUUAACUUUGAGGUUGUUGAUAUCAGCAUGAUGUAAAUCUCAGUUCGUUGAUUACAGCACGGUUUUUGUCGACAUCAGCAUUGAGUCGGUCAAAUUUAUUGAUGCUCAAGUCCCUCGUCUGUUAAAUGAGCUCUUCAAAUGUAUCACGGGGCAUUGCUGGAACGGCGGCAUCGACUGCAAUUGCUGGAACUUGCAGUAAGUUCCUCGAUGGAGAUGCUUCACCUGGCCGCUGUCUUCUGUGCGGUAUUGGAGAAAUUAAUUGCCUUGAACCGCCAGGUCGCCAAUUGUCCGGCCGCAAGUCUUUGAACCCGUGCAGUAAGUUAAUCGUCGAAUAGACAUUAUUUUUUAUGUAAGGACGCUUGAUACACGCCAACAGAAAUGCGACUGUCUUAUCCGGAAAAACCACAUCGAUUUCCAGCCAGACUGGAUCAGCCGAUGAGUCCUUUCCCAAAUACAUCAUGAAGGACGUCGUCAUCGACGAAAUCCACUUGGUUGCGAGAGAUGGUUGAUGAGCAUCUCCCUGAUCACGUUCUGGCUCUUAUAAUCUAGGAAUAUCAAGAUCCCACAUAAUACUAACGGGUAUAGAAUAUAUUCAUGAUGAAUUAACGUGGACUCCAUUAUCCUCUACAAAACGUCUUUCUAUGGUCGGCUGGAAUUUGCUAAAUUCCUCCCACGCCAACUUGUUCCAAGGAGUUGAGGAACUUUCCAAUGCAGUAGGAUUCUGGUUGCGCACGAUAUCCCGGAACUGGUUUUGUGUAGAGCCAUGAGAUGACCAUUCUUGUGCGACUUACCGGAAACGAAGAUCAUCUGGAGCUGCAUCGGAAAACAAAGAGGAAGCCAGGCCUGGAAUUUUUCGUGCCGGGUCACCGAUCAAGGUUGAAGACUUGCCGGAUCCAGUUCGGCCGAAUGCAAAAAUGACUGGCGUUACUUCGGUCCGAAGCUUGGUAUUGGAAGCUUCAAUGGUUGUUCGUAUGAAGUUUACGGAGGUAUAAUAGUCUUCGACAAAAACGUUAACCGUAAUUUCCAGAUUAGAAUACGCUAACUUAUUUCCGGUUAUCGUCAGAUCGGACUGUUGAGUAGCUGCAGAAACGCUCUGCUAUUCUUGAACUAUGACGUUCAUCUUGCUACUAUUCAUAUAUAACAGAACAAAUCAUAUAUCUAUAAACAUUUAAUUAUGAGUGUAAAUAUAAAUACAUAUAUAUAUAUGUAUACAUUUGUAUAUAUAUGCACAUUCAGCGACGAACUUCUAGGAUUAGAUUAAUAUAAUCACUGCUUAAUUCGCCAUAUACCAAAGGGUGAAAUUUUAUGAACCAUAACUCAUUAUCCGAAGAUAAGAAGAGGAGUGAUUUAAAAAUAAAUUUGAGGGGUGAGAGACGUUUUAUCCAAGUAUAUGACAGUUGAAGCUCUUCAGGUGUGUCUAUCCUAUAACUCAACUAAGACGUCUUGUUGGGAAGUACAUGUUGGCAUUGUCAUAAAUUGAGUCAAGCAUAUGGACGACUCACUGCGAGAGGCGCGAUUUGUACAGUACAAUUUCGCAGCGUGAAGCCCAACUACCGCAUAACUUCCCUUCUAGAAAACCACAUUGAGAUUAAAAAACCGAAGACUUUUUGUCAUUUAAAAAUUUCAAAUCAACUGUCAUUGAGUUGAGUUUACAUCUUGUCAACUGCAGCUGUAACUUAUAAAAUCAACUAAUAAAACAGAAACCUGUGGAUUGAAGCUGAUGCUCAGGUGACCAGUAACUGCCGACGAAUUUCUCCUGUUGCCAGAAAUUGUUUUGUCACAAGACUACAAACCCAGUAGUGCAAUUAACAAGAAAAAAAACUGCUCUGGAAUUACUGGUGGGGAUUCAGCCUCUGGUAUUUUGUCAGCCGUCAAAUCCUCUAUUGCCGUUGGAAAAUCUUCUGUAUGAGGCACCAUCGGGUUCGAAUCUAUGGCAUCAAGUCACAGUGGAUAUUUCAUUUAAACAAAAAGUCAUUGAUUGACAAGUAUAUUAACUGUUUUAUUUUUUAAAUUAAUUAUUAUUAUAAGUUUAGUUUAAAUUCGUUUUUUUACAUAUGAUCAUAUAUUUAUACUAUAUAAUUUUUGAUUAUGAAAUAAUUAUAUCCGCGAUGGUCACAAGGAGCCUAGACUUCAUGGCCAAAAACCAAUAAGUAAAUUAAGAGAAAAAAAAAAAUUAAUAGCUUUCAGCUAACGCUCUAGUAAAGUCGAAUAAAAAAUUACCAGACCUUAAAUUGUUAAAAGUUGAGCUUGAUCGGUCGGUAGGGACAUUUAAAAAAAAUUUUUUUUUUAGAUAAGUUGUAAUGUAGUCGAUGGAUUGAUUGCAAAAUCUAAAGUUCUUGAUCUACAAAACUUUUUAACGAUCAGAACGUUUAUAGAUUAAAAUAUAUUUUUUUUUAAUUUUCACUUAGGGGAGAUCUUUUGUCUCAAUCUUAAUUUUUUUUGUCGCCAUGUGUGUAAAAUAUUUGAGGUGCCAAACCGCGUGAAAAUUAUAUAUUUCAAAUAUCAUGUACUUAACGAUUCGUUGAUGCGUAAAUACAUAUUUAAAUAAUUAUUGAAAGUACAACUCAAAGUUUUGUUAGAAUUUAAUUAAAAGUAUUGUAAACUAUAAUAUAAUUUUUAUGAAACUGAAGUUAACUGACGUCUACUAAUAUUUUAAUGUUUCAAAAAACGAUACAUUUAAAAAAAUUUCACCUGGAAUUUUUUAAAUUUUCUACACGUGCAUUUUUUUUUUUUUUUAAAUUGUUUGUUGAAAAAAAAAUUCAAAAUUUAUUAAUUGUCUGUUAACUUCAGGAUCAUAAAUUUCUUCUGUAAAAAUUUAAUUUAUUUAUUUACAAAAAAAAAAUUAUCUAUUGUCUACUUUCAUUAUCAUUAGAAUUUUUACCAGUUCGAGUUUUUUCGUUCAUUUACUAAAUGUAUGAUGAAAGCAGAAAUGAUUUGAUAUAUUAAAUUUAUCAGCGAUGCUAAAAGUAACAGACACCUGAAAAUUUUUUUUAAAAUCAUGAUACAAUUUUUUUUAAAUUGACGCAUUUUUUAAAUAUUUUCCUUAGUAUUUAUACUGUUUAUUAAAAGUAAAAAAAUUUUUAAAUGUCUUUUACUUUUAGCAUCAUAAUUUAGUCGAGGAGAAAAAUAGUAUACACUCCUCGGGAAGUAAAUAAGAAAGCCUCAGAUCACAUGUUUGCUGACCUCGGCUUCGCCUCGGCCAACAAUUACAUGUGAUCUGAGACAUUUCUUACUUUACUUCCCUAGGUGUGUAAUAUACUAUUAUUAUAAAUACAAGCAAAAAUAACUUUUAUAUAAAUAUCAUGUAAAAACUAAUUUAAUUUUUAUGAAACUGAAGUUAACUGACGUCUACUAAUAUUUUAAUGUUUCAAAAAACGAUACAUAUAAAAAAAUUUCACCUGGAAUUUUUUUAAUUUUCUACACGUGCAUUUUUUUUUUUUUAAAUUGUUUGUUGAAAUAAAAAUUCAAAAAUUAUUUAUUGUCUGUUAACUUCAGGAUCAUAAAUUUCUUCUGUAAAAAUUUAAUUUAUUUGUUUAAAAAAAAAAAUUAUCUAUUGUCUACUUUCAUUAUCAUUAGAAUUUUUACCAGUUCGAGUUUUUUUGUUCAUUUACUAAAUGUAUGAUGAAAGCAGAAAUGAUUUGAUUUAUUAAAUUUAUCAGCGAUGCUAAAAGUAACAGACAUCUGAAAAUUUUUUUUAAAAUCAUGAUACAAUUUUUUUAAAUUGACGCAUUUUCAAAAUAUUUUCUUCAGUAUUUUAUAUUGUUUAUUUAUAUUCAUAUUGUUUAUUAAAAGUAAAAAAAUUUUUAAAUGUCUUUUACUUUUAGCAUCAUAAUUUAUUAGUAUAAUAAAUAAAUUGGCCUCUUCUUAUAAUUAUAUAUCUAUAUAAAUAUUAAAUGACAAUAAUAUUCAACAACUCUUAUAUUGGUUGUAAAUUUAAAUAUUAUAUUUUGUACUUUUAUUAUAAAUACAACCAAAUAAUUUUUAUAUAAAUAUCAUGUAAAAACUAAUUUGAUUUUUAUAAUAAAAUUGUUCUGCUUAUAGAGUAAGAGCACUAGAACCCAGCCUCAAACUAGUAGGCAGCCACUUCAUGUUAAAUUAUAUCUAUAUAUAUUUCUAGCCAAUUUCAAAGUAUAUGACCGGCUGGCUACUGGUUAGAGCUAGGUACUGGUACUCUUACUCUACUUGUAAUUUAUAUUUAGUUGUAAAUGAUAACUUUAUGUACACAUUAAUAUGAAAUUAUUAAAUGUAAAAAAUUUUAAUUGAUGUUAUAUAAAGUUGUCAUAUUUUUUUAUUAAACGUUUCAAUUCAAGGCCUUGCGUUUCAAUUCAGACGCCUUGCGUUGAAAAAAAAAAAUACAAAAUAAAUAAAUCGUUCAAUUAAUCAUAAACUUUUUAGCGCUCAAUAAGGAAAAAGUUUUAAAUCGAUACAUGGUAUAUUUUUUAACAGCUUUAGAAAGAUUGUUGCUCAAAUAAAAUGGAUCUUGGACAGCCACCACUGAGUCCAACCGUAAGCUUUCAGCUUUUUUAUUUUUAUUAACGUAAUUUUUGUAAGGCUCCAUUUUAUCAGGCAGAUCUUUAAGAUUUUCCGAGAUAAAAAAAUUAAUUUUUUCAAUCAGGCGACUCAGAAGUGAACAAAAUAUAUUAUUUCUAUAAUUAAAGCCCGCGCACAUUAUGAAAAAUCCCCGUAAUAAAUCUUUGAAAUUAUAAAUAUUACUAAUAUCCGGUAGGGUAAAAUCUUUGGAGGCUCCUGUCUUCCAACCACCGAUUCUUUGAGACUUUCCUUCAAGUUUUAUCAACUCUGCAACAUUUGGUAAUAUAAACUUUGUUUGUAAAUAAUAAAUAAACAUCCAAGCGACAGAAUAAUUAUGUAUUCCGCU